rnacentral:lncRNA from 1 species
AUAUAGCUAGAUCUCAAAACUUUUCUUUCUCAAACAUGGAGACUGGCACCUUUAGCCCAGAAAACUAUCAAUUCCCUUUGUGUUGAAUCAGGAAAAACAAAGGUCCAGUUGGAUUCACUGACUGGAGUCCAGAGUUUGUUGUGAUUGAGUCCUUGACUCUCUCCGGAGGAGUGGUUUUCAUUUCAGAGGCUGUAAAAGUUGUGUGUGUAUAUAGGUAAAAAUAAAAAUAAAAAAUUGAAGGCAUUAGAAUUGUAUUUUUACUAUAAAAAGUGAUAGUCAUGUAUAAGAAAAAAAGAAAGAAAAAAAAGUCAGCAAUUACUAGAUGUUUGUCUUUUUCAACAAGUUGAAGGUUUUUCUUGCUUGGCCAAAUAAUGAGGAAAGUGGCGAGUGGAUAUCAAGUUAUCUUCUGGCCACAACUAGCACAGCUCUACACAGCAGCAGUCCUGCAGUCCCCUGUCUGACUCCUGUCAGGAGAUGAGCUACAUUGCUGCUGCUGAACCUCAUCCUCCAUUUGGUCAGGGACUCUGACAGACCCAGAGCACAGAGCCUUAGGAUGCUUAAUUUGUUGCUGUGUUUGCUCUAAGGCCUUUCUUAAGAUGUAAUCCCGUUGCCCUACAGUAAAAGUGAUAAUAAGGAGGUCUGUGAUUCACAGUAAAGCACUGUGUCUUGUUUAAGUUAACAAGUACCUAAGUGCUCUGCUGAAUGGGGGCCAAGGGUGGAUUACUGAGAGAACUGGGCAGUCUUCCCAUCUCCAGACAGUUCACCAAGUAGUCCCAGGUUAAUCAUGUUGUAGCUCUGUGCCUUGGUUUCCUGAACAUGUUUACCAUAGGGUUUAUAUUUAGACCAGUAAAGACAGGGAGAUAAUGAGAGAACAUGAAAAAUUACUUCAGAGCAUCAUAGAAGGGAAAUGUGCUAAUGAUAAAUUAGUCUUCUGUUUUGAGUGUACGCUGUCAUAUGAACUUCUUAUGAUUUUUCUUUAGUCUGUUUUCUAAUUUUCUUAGGAAAAUUG